rnacentral:lncRNA from 1 species
CCGUCUUUCCCCACCGAAGCUCUGCCGAGACCAGACCCGAGGCAGAUCUGCCCAACACCGCCUGCUGUUACUCGGAGCCGAGGCCCUGCAACCCGUCUCCGUGUGCUCGUGCCCCUGUGAAGCGGCGACCCAUCUCUGCCCUUGGUGCGCUCGCCAGCCAUCGCCGCGUCCCUGCACCGACGUUGUCACUGCCCCGACGACCCGCGCCACCACGACGCCGAGCCUCGCCGUGCCUCCUUCGCGAGCAACCCACGACGCCAGCCCAGUCGUUCGCGACUUCCCCUGCCGACGCCGCUCCUGCCCUGCUCUGCCACUCGCCCGUGAUUGCCCAGCAGCUGCUCCGCCUCUGAUCAGUGACCCAUAUCGAAGCCAGGCGGACCCGCAUCACCUCUGCUCCGCCUUUGAAACUGCUGCCGUUGCCGAUCCAAUUGUCAGCCUUGCUCCAAGUUAUCUUCCCGUGCUCUGCCGUUUGCUGCCGCCGGAAUUUACCUCGCCGGAGUUCCCCUUGCCGGACCGACGACUUGCUGCCCCUGAAGAUCCACGAGCAUGGUUUUAGGAAAAAAAC